UGUGUUGUGUGUGUGUGUGUUCUCCCCAUCAUCAUAUAAUAUAAUCAUUUCUUUAAGCUACAGAGGUUAAGUUUGACUAGACUCCUAUGUCUCAAGUCUUGGUGUUGGCUUUUAAUGAUUUUUCUGUCCCUUCCCUGUUACAUGUUACUUUCUAUUGCUAUAAAUGUACAUAUAUCCUUGCUGCUUCUAACCUGCUGAGUAACAGAAAAUGUCAGCCAACCUUCUUAAACCUGUUUCUGAAAUAUAAGUAAAUAGGUUUUGAAAACUGAAGAGGUUCUUUGGUAAGUAAAGUUUUAGAACAGGUUUUAGAAUGUGGACUUUCUGACAUCAAUUUCUGCUCUACUUAGGAGUCUCAAAAAUUCUC